AGAAUCAACGCUGGCGGCGUGCCUAACACAUGCAAGUCGAACGAGAAAGGGGAGCAAUCCCUGAGUAAAGUGGCGCACGGGUGAGUAACACGUGACUAACCUACCCUGGAGUGGGGGAUAACUGAGGGAAACCUUAGCUAAUACCGCAUAAUACCUACGGGUCAAAGGAGCAAUUCGCUUCAGGAGGGGGUCGCGGCCGAUUAGUUAGUUGGCGGGGUAAUGGCCCACCAAGACGAUGAUCGGUAUCCGGCCUGAGAGGGCGCACGGACACACUGGAACUGAAACACGGUCCAGACUCCUACGGGAGGCAGCAGUGGGAAUUUUGCGCAAUGGGGGAAACCCUGACGCAGCAACGCCGCGUGGAGGAUGAAGUACUUCGGUACGUAAACUCCUUUCGAUCGGGACGAUAAUGACGGUACCGGAAGAAGAACGCCCGGCUAACUUCGCGCCAGCAGCCGC
rnacentral:rRNA from 1 species